UGGAUGGCCGAGUUGGUCUAAGGCGCUGCAUUAAGGCUGCAGUUUCUCCGGGAGCCGAGGUUCGAAUCCUCGUUC
rnacentral:ncRNA from 12 species